AUUGAACGCUGGCGGCAGGCCUAACACAUGCAAGUCGAGCGAGCGGCGGACGGGUGAGUAAUGUCUGGGAAACUGCCCGAUGGAGGGGGAUAACUACUGGAAACGGUGGCUAAUACCGCAUACCAUCAGAUGUACCCAUAUGGGAUUAGCUAGUCGGUGGGGUAACGGCUCACCAAGGCGACGAUCCCUAGCUGGUCUGAGAGGAUGACCAGCCACACUGGAACUGAGACACGGGCCAGACUCCUACGGGAGGCAGCAGUGGGGAAUAUUGCACAAUGGGCGCAAGCCUGAUGCAGCCAUGCCGCGGGUAUGAAGAAGGCCUUAGGGUUGUAAAGUACUUUCAGCGGGGAGGCGUUACCCGCAGAAGAAGCACCGGCUAACUCCGUGCCAGCAGCCGCGGUAAUUC
rnacentral:rRNA from 1 species